UAUAAAUUAUAUGUAUUAUAUUCUUUUGAAAAAGCAUGAUAUAUAUAUAUAUAUAUAUAUAUACAUACAUAUAUAUGCAAAAGGUUAUAAAUUUUUAGCUUGAUCCAAGCUGUAUACUACUAGAAAAGAUCCAACACAAAAUCAAAUGCUUAUAUUUUGAUACCAAGUUACACCAAAAUGCAUUCAGCAUUCAAUAUGAAAAGCCUAUGUCAUGUGCAUGUGGAAACAAAAACCUAUGUCACUUGGACCCUUUGGUUUAACAUUCCAUGCUCACACCCGACACUUGCACAUGUUUAUUAAAGUAAAACUUGGAUAUAGGGCAUGACAAAAUUGUUUAAUGUAGCAAAGGAUCCAGUAGUUAGACAAGCAUCAACACCCAACACAUAUUCACAAGUCCAUAAACAUAGAUGGAAAACUGACUUGCGUGGCAUAUAAGGUUAAAAAUAUUUAAUACAGAACAUGUGUCCAUUAGAGGUAUGACUGAAAUACAAGCGUCUCAUAUCAAAGACAUGCUGAUUACCAUCCACUAAAUGCAUGAGAAAUUGAUAUAUAUGAAAAUAGUAACUUCUACAGGCCAUAUGAUCAAGAAUAAAUCAUAAUAAAAAUCACUAAAAACUGAAAGGAUGGAUAAUUAUAUUAAGAAGGUUUAAGAACUUUGUUGAAAGGGUAGUAUUAUAGCAAGGUUGAAAAAACACAGAACACAGAAUGAAAAAAAAAUGUAGAAAAGGAAACAAUUACAGGUAACUGAUUACUAGCAAGCAACAGAUAAAUUUUCAACAUAUGUAUAACAUCCUAUGGCUUUGACUAAUAAACUUAGUUGAUGCCAAGGUAUAUUAGCCAUAACCAGAUGUAUGGCUACAAAUUCGUGCAGUUUUAUUCAGGCAAACAAAGUCACAUACAUUUCAUGCAAAACAAAAUAAAUAAGCAUGGCUUAAGUUUACUAGUUUAUAUGCAUAUCAAAGCAUAAAAAGUCAUUUUGAAUAACAAAAAUCUGAAACAUUCAAAAAACAAAAAACAAAUCACUUACAGCAAAAUUUCAAAUUUCGGUUGCACUCAAAUAUCAUAGCUUGUAUAAUAUUAUCAAUCAGUUUCUGAUAAAUAACACCUUGACUCACUAAAAUAAGUAUCCUAAUAUCCCAGAAUGACACAUUCCAUAAUCACAUGUUAACCCUCUGGAUCAAGGAUCCCUAUAAUACUAUAGUGAGUUGCAGAUAUUUAUUGAGAAAAAUGUCCGGCAAAACAUUACAUAUGCAUUUAGUAAUCAAAAUCAUUAAGUAACAGCAACAUAAAUUAAAAGUAAAACAUGUGCAACACCCUGUGUGAAUAUUAUUGAUCACCGAAAAGCAAAAAUACUAAAUUAGCAUAGGAAGAAGAAAACAUUCUUGCAUUGGAAUGUCUCGAAAUGAAUGGUUUCCAACUAGCUCCCAUAUGUGCAACUUUAUAUUCAUCUAUCAGUGUCUAACUGGAGUGCGAUAAAACACAAGAUUAGUUACUAUUAAAGUGAAUGCAUGUAAAGGCCAAAUUAAUGAUUUUUAUAUGCCAAGGAAAACACUGUGCACAUUUGGAAGGAGUUUAACAAAAUUCAGAAUCAUGAUUGCACAUUAAUGCAUGCGUCGGUUUCUGAAUAAGUAGUGGUUAAGAUUGACAGAAUGGGAUAAUUGAGGAUACAAAUUUUCCUUCAACCAUUCCAUGAAACUUCAGUGAUCAUUCUGUAAACCCAAUUUUAAUAAAGAGACAUGCCUGAUGUCUUCAAUAUCACAUUUAUCCCUCUUGAUAAACCAGGGGUGUGAUCCUAAAACUGUCACAAUAUUUUUUUUACAUUAUCUGCAUUUCCUAGUCCAUAACUAAGCCCUGAAAACUAUUAAGAACAGAAUAAAAAGUCUAUCCAGCUUGAAAGCUUUGCUAAGUCUUAUUCUUGGCUGCAUAAUUUUUGUUCUCUCUUCUUCAUACUCUAUUUCCCUCUCCCUCAUCAUCUCAGGACCAUCUAUCAAUUAACUAAUCCAGCAUACAUCGUUACCUGCAUACUCCUGCCACCUAAAAGUAAUUGCUCAGAUUUUCCUACUUGCAUUAUUUUUUGCCACAUAGUUGACAGCACAAAUCACAAUUUUCUUAUGAUACUCAAAUCAGAAUGCACUUGUCCCAGCACAUGCUUGCUCUUAAGCCAUUAAUACCAUCAUAACCAUCAACACGUACAAGCGUCUAUCAGUCUAUACAUGCUGAUUUUCCUCAGUCAUCCAUCAUGAUAUAACACAUGCAACAAAGAAGCCUCUUGCCUGAGAUCCUUUGACAAGUACAGCUAUUGAGGGAUCAUGAAUGAAUUAACAAAAGGCAAGUAGCUCAACUUUCAUGUAGCUGAUUACUAACAUGGUAUGGAAAUAGAUAGGCAUUAUAGAAUGACACCUAUUUAUGAGUGUGAUACUAGCACAUCGAUCUAUUCCAAACAUGACACCUAUUUAUUAGCACUUCAACAUUGUAUAUUAUUGGCUGUCAAUUCAUAAGACACAUGCCAUGCAACAAGGAGCUGGCUUUCAAGCCUUGAGCAUCCAACUAUGAUCCAAGGUCUGCUGUACCGACCUAUACCAUACCAGUAAGGUACUUGAAUGGUAUCGAGAUUCAGCUUGGUAUAUGGGUUGAACCAAUCCAUACCGGUCUAAACCGAGCGAAACCACCAGGUGCAUACCAUACCGUACCGCCCUAUGCCCAUUUCCAAGCGAUACUAUGGUAAAGCUCCCGAAGAAGUUGAGGAUAGAGGGCAGGCAAAAUGCGAAAAGGGUGUGGGGAGCUGUCUUGAAAUAGGGUGUGUACCAUACUGUACCGACUCAUACCGUCCUGAACUAUUAACAUGCCAGUACGAUACCUAGUAUUUAUAUUGUGGACCUUAAUGGUAGUAUAAUUCAAGCUUUCUACUUAGGUUACACCUUCCCACUUUUAGUCCUUAUAGACUCAAUGCAAGUUUAAAUAUAGUCCUGCUACUGCAUAAACUAUUAAUUCUCUUAGGCCCUUCUUGAUUGAGGUUAAUAGGAAAUAUGGGACAGUAAUCUAAUUAUUCUGUUAAACUAUUAAUUCUUCUUAGGCCCUUCUUGAUUGAGGUUUAUAGGAAAUACGGGACAGCAACCUAAACUGUUAAACAACCUUUUGCAAUGCACUUGUUUCAGGGGCAAAAUGGGAACUACAAAAAGUUGAAAUGGACAUUUUUCCCACCUAAUGCAAAUAACCUGGAAUAAAGCUACUCUACCAGAAAAUGGAACGCUUUUAUCCUGGAUUUGAGCAGGUUAAGGGUAGUUUAUUCUGGGUUAACCACUUUAUCCAAGUCAUCUUGUUCCCAAUGAAAUAGGACCUUAAGAAGAUAGGUACAAAACGUAGUCAUCUGCCUAACAUCAUGAGAUCCAGGUUUUUAUCGACUAACCAGAAUCCCCAAGGUGAUGAGAGGUUCCCCGAAGCUUUUUAACUAGGACAUAGCAAGGCUGAUGGCUUAUGCCCGCAACCAACUCUAUAAAUAGCUCUUACUCUAGUCUACAAAAACCCACUUCAUCUGACAACUUUUGUUCUAAUCUGACCAAGUAAAAUUUUCCUUAUGGAAAAUCUCAAUUUAGCCCCAUUCAGUAGCUCUUACUUCAAGCACAUUUCCCUUGAAAAUCCAUUUUUUUAGGUCCUAUUUCCAUAAUUAGUCUCGUUCAUGUUUCAAGCUCCAUGGAGCUUGCUUUAAAUGCAAUGCUAACACCAAAUCUGAUUCAGAAUAAUAAUAAGCUUAAAGCCUUGGUCAUAACUAGGAUUAUCCCAAAGCAACAACUAAGCAGCUAACAUCCUCCAUAGCCAAUUCUACAAGAGUGCCUACCCUUUUCCGAGAAUGUCAUGAAAUGAUAAGCAAUAACUUUCACUCUAAUCCCACCAUGUAAAAUUUAAGGAAGAAUGAUGUAAAUCAUUGGCCUUCACAAAAUUAUCUAAUAUGGCAUGAUACUUCUUGUAUAUCAUAAAACCGUAUAAAUUAUUAUACAUAGGCCCUUCAUGAAUUCAGUAUUAAAUAGAUAAAUUACGAACUGCAGCCAGUUGUAUGGGCCCCCGUAACGAGAAUGUAAGAUGACGAGUGUACAUAAUAGUCUUGACUCUCAAAAGGCAUUCUAAGUGAUUGAUCACCCACCAACGUUAUUAUCUUGUUUCCCUUGUAGAAUAUCUUGCUAUAUCACAAUUGGUGCAGGCUCACUACAAAAGCAUUGUUAGAAGUCCAUUACAUUGAUCUUCAUUCUUUAGUCAUAAGGCAAACCUUUCAUAAUAAAUAAAGAUGAUGCUAGUGAGCACUUGAAAUAGCUCUUUUGUUGCCUUCUCCAUAUGUUCUUUUAAAAUAUCUGCUUGUCAUUGCUUGUUUCUUAUUUUCCAUCAAGAUUGAGAAAUUUAAAUUCUAGCCAAAACUCCCAGACUCUCAACAUUCAGCCAAGUCUCUUUUAGAAGUUUGCAUUGGUCACUUCAGGAAAUUAUUUAAAUGGCCUAGCUUUGCAUGUGGUGCCGAAGUGUGGAUUAAAUUCUAAGAUUUGAACUACAAAAUGGGACAGCUGGUCUUUAAACUCUAGUAAGAACUUAGUAAGAACACGAGCUUAAUGUUUUCUUUUUUCAGGUGAGAAAUUUAUUGGCAUCUUCAACGGUUUGGAGGCAACAGUUAUGUCUCACUCCAUCUCUAACUAGGAGUAACAUUGCUAUCUAAAGUAUUAAAUGACUGGAAAUAUUUCCAAUCUUUUUCACUAAAAAAAUGGAAGAGUUGCUUAACCAAAAAAAAUGAUUAGAAAAGUCAUUAAGUAUUCAUAUGACAGAUAAAAAGGAAGAAAUUUAUAGUAUUAAAGUGGUCAGCAUAUGAGGAAAUUAUCACAUUUUUGGGAAUACGGAUGCCCUACCAUCUCAGCCAUGACAAGAUGAACCAGCCAUAGCAUAUUCCUUUUCUUCAAUAUAGUUUGUAUUCCUACUAUCUUUUAUCUUCCUUUUCCUCUCCUACCAUUUCUACAACUUGUGUGGCUGAAAUCUAGAAGAAUCCUUGCGGACCUUUUUUGGUACUUGGACGCUCAUAUCCAGCUCCAAAAAUCCAUGUCGGAUUCAUAUAUCCGAAUUGGAAAAGCAUCAGAUACUUAGAUGCUUAUCAAGGAUACCUUUUUUUAACCAUAUCUUUUAAUAACUGGGAGAGAGUUGGACUCUUCGAAUGAUGAGUCUAACCCUAUAAUAGUGCUAAAAUUAACUUUUGUUCUUUUUAGAGAUUGGUCAAGAAUAUUAGUAUUUAAAUAAGUUUGUAAAAUGUCAUUUUUCUAAAGUCUUGAGCUAAUUAAAAAGUUUGGAUAAGAAACGUGCAUAUUGAAACACCAUAAAAAUAGUAUUUUUAAGUUUUCUUUCAUACAAUAUUUGAAUAUCCUUUGAUUAUAUUUUUCUACAUAUCCCCAGAUCUCCUUUUUCUCCUCUUGCCGAGUCAAACUUGGGCGCAUGUCCAAAUGCAAUUCUCGUGUCCACAUCAACAUGCCAUUGGUGAACAUACAUGCAAAGCUUCCAUAGAACACAGAAAUGCUUCCUAGAGUAUUUAGCAUUUAGCAAUGGCACGCAAACUACCCAAGAGAAAAAAGUCACCAACCUUCAAAUUAGAUACCUAUGCCAAACAUCAUAAUCCAAGAAAAAUAACUUAGUCCUCAUGAAGAUAAUCAUGGAAAUAAGAUUUAAAAUGUUGAAUAUGACAGCAUUUUACAGCCGCAAGUAUCAGUAGUGGUCGUUACAUAUUCCUAGAGGAAGUGGAAGUAUCAAGAAAGGUGAUCUAUACCAUAUGUGCAUCUAUAAUAUUGAUAAAAUAUUUUCCAUAAGUACUAUUUAGCAUGGCAUUGUGUGGCCAUGAAAUUAA